AUUGAACGCUGGCGGUAUGCUUUACACAUGCAAGUCGAACGGGCUUGGGGGCUUGCUCCCGGGUUAGUGGCGAACGGGUGAGUAAUAUAUCGGAACAUGUCCGGAAGUGGGGGAUAACGUAGCGAAAGUUACGCUAAUACCGCAUAUGCCCUGAGGGGGAAAGGAGGGGAUCGCAAGACCUUUCGCUUUCGGAGUGGCCGAUAUGGGAUUAGCUAGUAGGUGAGGUAAAGGCUCACCUAGGCGACGAUCCGGAGCUGGUCUGAGAGGACGACCAGCCACACGGGAACGGAGACAGGGUCCAGACUCCUACGGGAGGCAGCAGUGGGGAAUUUUGGACAAUGGGCGAAAGCCUGAUCCAGCCAUACCGGGUGGGUGAAGAAGGCCUUCGGGUUGUAAAGCUCUUUCAGCCGGAAAGAAAUUGCCUCUAUUAAUACUAGAGGUAGAUGACGGUACCGGAAGAAGAAGCACCGGCUAACUACGUGCCAGCCGCCGCGGUAAUAC
rnacentral:rRNA from 1 species